UGAAAAGCUGCCUUUAUGUUUGCUAAUGAGC
rnacentral:piRNA from 1 species